UCACGCUGGAGACUGGACACUCUCAGUGUGGAGCACGGUGGAGUGUGCAGGCUGAAACCAGCUCUAAAGAAGUAUGCCUGUGAACUCACCCUGGACCCCAACACAGCCAGCAGACGACUCUCUCUGUCUGAGGACAACAGAAAGGCGACGCGGGUUGAAGAG